rnacentral:rRNA from 1 species
UAGGGAAUCUUCCACAAUGGACGCAAGUCUGAUGGAGCAACGCCGCGUGAGUGAAGAAGGUUUUCGGACCGUAAAGCUCUGUUGUUGGUGAAGAAGGAUAGAGGUAGUAACUGGCCUUUAUUUGACGGUAAUCAACCAGAAAGUCACGGCUAACUACGUGCCAGCAGCCGCGGUAAUACGUAGGUGGCAAGCGUUGUCCGGAUUUAUUGGGCGUAAAGCGAGCGCAGGCGGAAGAAUAAGUCUGAUGUGAAAGCCCUCGGCUUAACCGAGGAAUUGCAUCGGAAACUGUUUUCUUGAGUGCAGAAGAGGAGAGUAGAACUCCAUGUGUAGCGGUGGAAUGCGUAGAUAUAUGGAAGAAUACCAGUGGCGAAGGCGGCUCUCUGGUCUGCAACUGACGCUGAGGCUCGAAAGCAUGGGUAGCGAACAGG